rnacentral:SRP_RNA from 1 species
GGCAAGCCGGCACGACCAGCUCCCGCUGAACUCCCCCAGGGCCGGAAGGCAGCAAGGGUAGGCGGUUGAGCGGUGCGAUGUUCGGCUUGCUUUU